rnacentral:lncRNA from 1 species
GUCCCGGAACACUCUCGGCCCUCUUCAGCCACUCCCUCCCCAACCCACACGCCAUCAACCUCCAGACCCUCUCGCCGUGGCUUAGAGGUGUCUCUGACAACGUGGCACACUGGGAAGGCCUUCUUUCCUGCUACCAAUACAAAUGCAUUCUGAAUUUGAUAUGUCAUUAAAUGUAAAAAUACAGCCAAUUUGAAACAAGCAAAUGGAAAUUCCCAGGAACCAAAAACAGAAAGAAAAAUCAGAGGUACCGCAGUGCUGUCCCUGCAGACAGAAUUUGGGAGAGGUACUCAGAGUCACCUCCUGUGAGCCUAUGCAAGCCAGCUCCUGCACAACCCUGGUUUUAGUCCAGGAGAAAAUUCAUUCUUCUGGAAACAGACUUGAAAAAAAUAAAAUAUUUACUCUACCUUUCUUGUUCAGAACCAUGCCUUAGGGCUUCUGCAGAAUUCCACAUUAAACAGGAUGAAGAAUAGGUUGUUAGCAGACUGAGGUACUUGGGGCAACAUUUCGUACACAACAGGAGGGAGAAACGACUCCAGGGAGGGCCCUGAAUGUGAUCUAUGAUUGCAACAAGCAGCCCUGAUGCGGAUCCGGAGGGCAGGGAUGACGUGGGGGCUGCCUUUCUGGUUGACCUGCUGGUUGUCUUGUGGUAGAGGAGAUUUUGCCUUGCAAUUUUACAUACUUAUGCUACGUGGAAGGCUGGGUGGCGUGACUUCAGGAAAAUGUUUCCUCAGGAAAGAGACACACAGAGAGAGAGAGAAAGAGAGAAAGAGAGAACCCACCUACCUGUUUUGCAAAAGUCUCAUGAAUCAUCCCUUCCUGUGGUCCUGCUCCCUGAGAUCCUUUCACCGCUCACAGUGGGCUACUUCUAAGAGCGUGCCUGGCACAGGGUCACUGAGAGCAUAGUCUUAAUAAAACAAUGAUGGAUGCUUGUCUCUCUCACUGGGUGCCAUGCACUUUGAUCAGAAGCUUUAAGAAUGUUUUCCUCCACUGUCUAGUC